rnacentral:pre_miRNA from 10 species
UACAAUCCAACGAGGAUUCUAAUUUCUCCACGUCUUUGGUAAUAAGGUUUGGCAAAGAUGUGGAAAAAUUGGAAUCCUCAUUCGAUUGGUUAUAACCA